CCUACGGGGUGCUGCAGUGGGGAAUAUUGGACAAUGGGCGAAAGCCUGAUCCAGCCAUGCCGCGUGUGUGAAGAAGGCCUUCGGGUUGUAAAGCACUUUCAGUGGGGAAGAAAGCCUUGGGGCUAAUACCCUCGAGGAAGGACAUCACCCACAGAAGAAGCACCGGCUAACUCCGUGCCAGCAGCCGCGGUAAUACGGAGGGUGCGAGCGUUAAUCGGAAUUACUGGGCGUAGAGCGCGCGUAGGCGGUCUGAUAAGCCGGUUGUGAAAGCCCCGGGCUCAACCUGGGAACGGCAUCCGGAACUGUCAGGCUAGAGUGCAGGAGAGGAAGGUAGAAUUCCCGGUGUAGCGGUGAAAUGCGUAGAGAUCGGGAGGAAUACCAGUGGCGAAGGCGGCCUUCUGGACUGACACUGACGCUGAGGUGCGAAAGCGUGGGUGGCAAACAGGAUUAGAUACCCGAGUAGUC
rnacentral:rRNA from 1 species